rnacentral:tRNA from 1 species
GACCGCAUAACUCAGUUGGUAGAGUACCACAUUCACAUUGUGGGUGUCGUAGGUUCAAGUCCUACUGCGGUCACCA